rnacentral:ncRNA from 2 species
UACUUAUCAAGAGAGGUGGAGGGACUGGCCCUAUGAAACCUCAGCAGCAGAUUCUUUUUUGAAUUCUGUGCUAAAUCCUGCAAGCAAAUUGCUUGAAAGAUAAGUU